AUUGAACGCUGGCGGCAGGCUUAACACAUGCAAGUCGAACGAUGAAACUCUAGCUUGCUAGAGAUGAUUAGUGGCGGACGGGUGAGUAACAUUUAGGAAUCUGCCUAGUAGUGGGGGAUAGCUCGGGGAAACUCGAAUUAAUACCGCAUACGACCUACGGGUGAAAGGGGGCGCAAGCUCUUGCUAUUAGAUGAGCCUAAAUCAGAUUAGCUAGUUGGUGGGGUAAAGGCCCACCAAGGCGACGAUCUGUAACUGGUCUGAGAGGAUGAUCAGUCACACCGGAACUGAGACACGGUCCGGACUCCUACGGGAGGCAGCAGUGGGGAAUAUUGGACAAUGGGGGCAACCCUGAUCCAGCCAUGCCGCGUGUGUGAAGAAGGCCUUUUGGUUGUAAAGCACUUUAAGCAGGGAGGAGAGGCUAAUGGUUAAUACCCAUUAGAUUAGACGUUACCUGCAGAAUAAGCACCGGCUAACUCUGUGCCAGCAGCCGCGGUAAUACAGAGGGUGCGAGCGUUAAUCGGAAUUACUGGGCGUAAAGCGAGUGUAGGUGGCUCAUUAAGUCACAUGUGAAAUCCCCGGGCUUAACCUGGGAACUGCAUGUGAUACUGGUGGUGCUAGAAUAUGUGAGAGGGAAGUAGAAUUCCAGGUGUAGCGGUGAAAUGCGUAGAGAUCUGGAGGAAUACCGAUGGCGAAGGCAGCUUCCUGGCAUAAUAUUGACACUGAGAUUCGAAAGCGUGGGUAGCAAACAGG
rnacentral:rRNA from 1 species